CUGAACGCCUCUAAGUCAGAAUCCGUGCUAGAAACGAUGAUGUUGGUCCCGCACAUUUGACUUGAGUUGAAAUAGAGCUUUGCUCGUGAACCAAAUCAGGUGGACUUUGGCUGUCAUUGCGGAAAUGCUUUGGCAAGCUUGUCUACGAAUUGUAAUCAUAAUAUGGGCGGGGGUGAAUCCUUUGCAGACGACUUGAAUGGGAACGGGGUACUGUAAGCGGUAGAGUAGCCUUGUUCCUACGAUCCGCUGAGGUUAAGCCCUUGUUCUAAAGAUUUGU
rnacentral:rRNA from 1 species